CCGAGCCUCAGGUUGGCGCUUUGGCUGCCAGGGUCGAUGGCUGUACCGGUACAGCCAUCACCGCGUACCGGUACGCCACCCUGCAGAUAGCCACCCGAGAGCACACCAAUAAUCCAAAUUUUUGGGUUUUGGUGCUAAGUUUUAAACCUCAAUUCUCGGGACUCGAACCAUAGGUCGAAACACUAUCCACGACCCUCCACGAAGUGUGGAAAAGUUCGAAACACAAGUUAAACACUCGGACCUCACUAUUUGCGACGGUUCGGUGUGUUACA
rnacentral:lncRNA from 1 species